rnacentral:lncRNA from 1 species
CCGCCGAGGGAAGGCAGCCGCCUACAACUCCCAGGAGCACCGAGGGAGGUGGAGCGGGAGGGAGGCGCCUGCCCCUUCCGCGCCGCUCUGCCCGCCGGGAGUUGUGGUCCUGCCGCCGUUGUGGCCGCUCCGUGGAGGCUGGCACGGGACUCGGUGUCCCGGCGCGCCGCGGGCCGUGGGCGGAGGGGCCGAGGUGGGAAAGGCGGCAAGGCCGGCAGCUGCUGUGGACGGUGUUGGGGCUGUGCGGUGUUUGUUGGGGCACUAAACUGGCUGUGCAUUUGGAAAACUAUAUUUAGAGUUGUUCCUGGGCCUACAUCAAAGACCUC